ensembl:snRNA U4 U4 spliceosomal RNA
AGCUUUGUGCAAUGGCAGGAUCGCAGCCAAUGAGGUUUACUUGAUGGAAAAUUCUUCUCAAUACCCUGCCAUGAUGACUUGAUAUAUAGUCAGCAUUGGCAAUUUUUGACAGUCUCUCCAAAGA